rnacentral:lncRNA from 1 species
GUUCUAUUGGUUUAUCUCUUUAAAUAUCUUAAAUCCUGAAGCAACAUGGAGAGAUUGUCUGUCAUGUAGUAGGGAGUCAACUUACCCAUGUGGUAAAUAAGACUGGAAGAAGACAAGAUUUCAAAUCGGGAAUGAAAAUUAUAAAAAUAGCACUUUGACUCUGUGUGAGUCAUUCUAUGGGGCUGUACCAGAGACCUGGAAUGUGAGAGGCUACCAAGACUCAAUGGGCAUGACCUUAAUCAACAUACCCAACAAGGGAGAUGGAACCUGAAGAGACCACCUUCAGUAGAUAGACAGCACCCCUUGUGGAGGGAUCAGGUUACCAAUCCACCUUCAAAAUUUGACCCAGAAUUGUUCCUGUCAAAGAAAUGCAGAAACAAAAAUGGAAAACAGAAUGAAGAACAACACAUGCUCCAGCUCCAGACUGUUGUUGUCACCACUGUGUGCUGCCCCAACUCUUCCCAGAUGCCAGCUCUCCACCUUGAGUUGUGUGGUUGCACCCGGGCAGCAGUCCUCAACCUGAGAAUUGACAAAGGGAUGUUACUGCUCUCCGUGGGCCCUCCUUUGACAUACCCAAAGAAAAGUGAAGUUAUACAAACAAAGAUUGAAGCUCUAUUCCCAGGGGAUUCUAGGUUGGACCAAGUUGACAGUAAAAGGUA